GCCUUCGUGGUGUAGUGGUCAGCACGCUCGACGCGUAACCGAGAGGUCCAUGGUUCGAUUCCCGGUGAAGGCG
rfam:Stegodyphus mimosarum contig74878, whole genome shotgun sequence.